UACGGGAGGCAGCAGUGGGGAAUAUUGCACAAUGGGCGCAAGCCUGAUGCAGCCAUGCCGCGUGUAUGAAAAAGGCCUUUCGGGUUGUAAAGUACUUUCAGUCGUGAGGAAGGUGUUAAGGUUAAUAACCUUAGCAAUUGACGUUAGCGACAGAAGAAGCACCGGCUAACUCCGUGCCAGCAGCCGCGGUAAUACGGAGGGUGCGAGCGUUAAUCGGAAUUACUGGGCGUAAAGGGCACGCAGGCGGUUAAUUAAGUUGGAUGUGAAAUCCCCCAGGGCUUAAACCUGGGAAUGGCAUUCAAGACUGGUUAGCUAGAGUCUUGUAGAGGGGGUAGAAUUCCAUGUGUAGCGGUGAAAUGCGUAGAGAUGUGGAGGAAUACCGGUGGCGAAGGCGGCCCCUGGACAAAGACUGACGCUCAUGUGCGAAAGCGUGGGGAGCAAACAGGGAUUAGAUACC
rnacentral:rRNA from 1 species